rnacentral:rRNA from 1 species
AGCGAACGCUGGCGGCAGGCUUAACACAUGCAAGUCGAGCGCCCCGCAAGGGGAGCGGCAGACGGGAGAGUAACACGUGGGAACAUACCUUUUGGUUCGGAACAACUGAGGGAAACCUCAGCUAAUACCGGAUAAGCCCUUACGGGGAAAGAUUUAUCGCCGAAAGGUUGGCCCGCGUCUGAUUAGCUAGUUGGUGAGGUAACGGCUCACCAAGGCGACGAUCAGUAGCUGGUCUGAGAGGAUGAUCAGCCUCACUGGGACUGAGACACGGCCCAGACUCCUACGGGAGGCAGCAGUGGGGAAUAUUGGACAAUGGGGGCAACCCUGAUCCAGCCAUGCCGCGUGAGUGAUGAAGGCCUUAGGGUUGUAAAGCUCUUUUGCCCGGGAAGAUAAUGACGGUACCGGGAGAAUAAGCCCCGGCUAACUUCGUG